GACGAACGCUGGCGGCGUGCUUAACACAUGCAAGUCGAACGGAAAGGCCCUGCUUUUGUGGGGUUCUCGAUUGGCGAACGCGGGAGUAACACGUGAGGAACCUGCCCUUGUCUGUGUGAUAACUUCAGGAAACUGGGGCUAAUACCGGAGAGGAUCUCCUGCUGCAUGGGGGUGGUUGGAAAGUUUCGGCGGUGGGGGAUGGACUCGCGGCUUAUCAGCUUGUUGGGGGGGUAGGGGCUUACCAAGGCUUUGAAGGGUAGCCGGCCUGAGAGGGUGAACGGCCACAUUGGGACUGAGAUACGGCGCAGAAUCCUACGGGAGGCAGCAGUGGGGAAUAUUGCACAAUGGGCGGAAGCCUGAUGCAGCAACGCCGCGUGCGGGAUGACGGCCUUCGGGUUGUAAACCGCUUUCGCAUGUGACGAAGCGUGAGUGACGGUAAUGGGUAAAGAAGCACCGGCUAACUACGUG
rnacentral:rRNA from 1 species